GAAAGUCGGAUUAAUACCCCAUAAAACAGGGGUCCCGCAUGGGAAUAUUUGUUAAAGAUUCAUCGCUGAUAGAUAGGCAUGCGUUCCAUUGGGCAGUUGGCGGGGUAACGGCCCACCAAACCGACGAUGGAUAGGGGUUCUGAGAGGAAGGUCCCCCACAUUGGUACUGAGACACGGACCAAACUCCUACGGGAGGCAGCAGUGAGGAAUAUUGGUCAAUGGCCGAGAGGCUGAACCAGCCAAGUCGCGUGAAGGAAGAAGGAUCUAUGGUUUGUAAACUUCUUUUAUAGGGGAAUAAAGUGGAGGACGUGUCCUUUUUUGUAUGUACCCUAUGAAUAAGCAUCGGCUAACUCCGUGCCAGCAGCCGCGGUAAUACGGAGGAUGCGAGCGUUAUCCGGAUUUAUUGGGUUUAAAGGGUGCGUAGGUGGUGAUUUAAGUCAGCGGUGAAAGUUUGUGGCUCAACCAUAAAAUUGCCGUUGAAACUGGGUUACUUGAGUGUGUUUGAGGUAGGCGGAAUGCGUGGUGUAGCGGUGAAAUGCAUAGAUAUCACGCAGAACUCCGAUUGCGAAGGCAGCUUACUAAACCAUAACUGACACUGAAGCACGAAAGCGUGGGGAUCAAACAGGAUUAGAUACCCUGGUAGUCCACGCAGUAAACGAUGAUUACUAGGAGUUUGCGAUACAAUGUAAGCUCU
rnacentral:rRNA from 1 species